AGCGAACGCUGGCGGCAGGCUUAACACAUGCAAGUCGAGCGCCUGUAGCAAUACAGGAGCGGCAGACGGGAGAGUAACACGUGGGAACGUACCUUUCAGUACGGAACAACCAAGGGAAACUUUGGCUAAUACCGUAUACGCCCGUAAGGGGAAAGAUUUAUCGCUGAAAGAUCGGCCCGCGUCUGAUUAGCUUGUUGGUGAGGUAAUGGCUCACCAAGGCGACGAUCAGUAGCUGGUCUGAGAGGAUGAUCAGCCUCACUGGGACUGAGACACGGCCCAGACUCCUACGGGAGGCAGCAGUGGGGAAUAUUGGACAAUGGGCGCAAGCCUGAUCCAGCCAUGCCGCGUGGAUGAUGAAGGCCCUAGGGUUGUAAAGUCCUUUCGACGGGGAAGAUAAUGACGGUACCCGUAGAAGAAGCCCCGGCUAACUUCGUGCCAGCAGCCGCAGUAACAC
rnacentral:rRNA from 1 species